rnacentral:lncRNA from 1 species
GCCCCCAGCCAAGCUGAAUUGCAGUCAGCGUAUAUGACUAGAAACAUAAGGCUCCGUUAGAAGCCUUUCUGUCUUUCUGCCAAGGUCUGCGUGAAUCCCGGAGCAGUGUUCUCAGCUGUGACAGCAAAGUGGGAUCACCCGGAGAAACUGGAAGAACAUACCGAAGCCUGUGCCCCACACCUGGGGAUCCUGAUGUAACUUACCCAAG